rnacentral:rRNA from 1 species
AACGAACGCUGGCGGCAGGCCUAACACAUGCAAGUCGGACGAGAAGGUUCCUUCGGGAACUGGAGAGUGGCGCACGGGUGAGUAACGCGUGGGGACCUACCUCUUAGUGGGGGAUAACGGUUGGAAACGACCGCUAAUACCGCAUACGCCCUUCGGGGAAAGAUUAUCGCUAAGAGAUGGACCCGCGUUGGAUUAGAUAGUUGGUGAGGUAAUGGCUCACCAAGUCAGCGAUCCAUAGCUGGUUUGAGAGGAUGAUCAGCCACACUGGGACUGAGACACGGCCCAGACUCCUACGGGAGGCAGCAGUGGGAAUAUUGGACAAUGGGGGCAACCCUGAUCCAGCCAUGCCGCGUGAGUGAAGAAGGCCUUCGGUGUAAAGCUCUUUCAGAUGCGAAGAUGAUGACGGUAACAUCAGAA